rnacentral:sRNA from 1 species
CAGGUGGAAAUGAACAACUGCCCCCAAAGCCUGUGCCGGAGGCUGGAGUAGCCAUUGCUGCUUGUGUGGAGAUGGAGCAGCAGUAUGACCCACUUGACUCAGACAUGCCAGCCAUGGACACAGCUGGCCUGUUCAAAGAAAGUCAUGAAGAUAUGAAGAAGCCAGAUGAAGAGGAAGAGAAACAGAAGAUAGAAGAUUCUCUGUGGGCAGGUGUGGAGGCAUGUCAAAAGGUAGACACUGGAGCUAUUGAUAUCAAGACACUAGAAGGUACAGAGGAAUUUGAAGAGAAAGCAUGUGAAAGGACAGGAAACAGAGUGGUAGAUCUUCUUAAUACCAUAGGAAAGGAAGACCAUAAGACCUUAAAAAUUAAUGAAGUGGAAACUAGAAAAGAUCUAAGAGCAGGGUAUAAGGAAAGUACAAACACCAAUGAAAAUUCUUUUGAGAAAACUGACCUAUUAGAAAAGAACAUGGAAGGAGGAGAUAUGGCAAAAGAACUUAGUGACAGAGACCAAGGUCUACAUGAUGGAAUUCAAAAGGUAAUCAAUAAUUGUGGAAUGAUAGAAGGCUUUGGAGCCAAACCUGCCAAUCACCCAGAUAUCUUGAAUCCAUCUCUCCAGACCUACUCUGUAUCUAAUAUUGAAGAUGGCAGCCCUGAGGGAUGGGAUUUGACUAGAAAAGACAUAAAGAAAAAUGCAAUAAACACUCCCAACCAUGAUAUGGUAUUUUACCCAGCACAAGACAGUACAGAUGCUGAAGAAAUUCAGUGUGAGACUGUGUUAAAUGCUCUUGUAGGUGACAGGGAUAAAAAUCAGGCUGUUUUAUCAAUAAAACUUGAAGUAGAAGCUCAGUCUAGGACUGACCUUAAUUAUUCUCUGGGAAGAGAUGCAAACAGAAGAGAUUUAUGUUCAUGUAAGGCAGAAAGUUCACUAAUAGAAGGGUCUGAAAGAACAGUAACUAAGAACUGUAGUCAUACUGUUAACUUGCCAAGAAUUGCAGAGAUAGACUCUUGGGGAACAGAUCCAGGUCAAAUCUGGCAGCCAAGCUUGGAUUCAGCAAUGAAUAAUUUGGAUAUAACAGGAUUCUCUGGUAUACCAGAUGGCCAAGCAAGUGGAUUUGCCAGUUGUCUGGAUUCUAUUAACCACUGGCCUAUCAGAGAUACAGAAGGCUUAGAUAAUAGCUGGACACAUUUAGAUGUAGUUGAGCACAAGGAAGAACUGAAGGUGGACUUACUAGCAGGUGAUUGUAGGGAACAAGCCAUUUCUAGCUGCUGGGAACAAAGCCAGGAGAUAGCAAGACCAUUGAUUUUGGGGACCUCCUGGAAUGCUAGCACUGAGAGUUCUGCUAGUUCCCGAGACCAGGACAUCAACAACUCAGAUUUAUCUGAAGAUGAAAUUGCUAACCAGAGAUAUGGAUUGUUGUACCAAGAAAUAGAGGCUGACAAAGACGAGGCUUCUGGUGGUUCAUUUAAUGGAUUCACACAGCCCCAGGAUACUUCAUUAUUCACAAUGCAGACAGACCAGAGUAUGAUCUGCAACUUGAUCAUACCUGGAGCUGAUACUGAUGCAGCUGUUGGAACCUUGGUGUCAGCAGCUGAGGGGGCCCCAGGAGAGGAAGCAGAGGCAGAGAAGCCCACUGUCCCUGCCGGGGAAGGAGUAAGUUUAGAGGAGGCCAAAAUUGGAACUGAAACCACUGAGGGUGCAGAGAGUGCCCAACCUGAAGCAGAGGAGCUGGAAGCAACAGUGCCUCAGGAGAAGGUCAUCCCUUCGGUGGUCAUAGAG